UUUCUUCGGAUUGAAGUUUUGUGACUGAGUGGCGGACGGGUGAGUAACGCGUGGGUAACCUGCCUCAUACAGGGGGAUAACAGUUAGAAAUGACUGCUAAUACCGCAUAAGCGCACAGGAUCGCAUGAUCCAGUGUGAAAAACUCCGGUGGUAUGGGAUGGACCCGCGUCUGAUUAGCCAGUUGGCAGGGUAACGGCCUACCAAAGCGACGAUCAGUAGCCGACCUGAGAGGGUGACCGGCCACAUUGGGACUGAGACACGGCCCAAACUCC
rnacentral:rRNA from 1 species